GACGAACGCUGGCGGCGUGCUUAACACAUGCAAGUCGAGCGGAAAGGCCCUUCGGGGUACUCGAGCGGCGAACGGGUGAGUAACACGUGAGUAACCUGCCCUAGGCUUUGGGAUAACCCCGGGAAACCGGGGCUAAUACCGGAUAUGAACUGGUGCCGCCCGGCGUUGGGGGGAAAGGUUUUUCGGCCUGGGAUGGGCUCGCGGCCUAUCAGCUUGUUGGUGGGGUGAUGGCCUACCAAGGCGGAGACGGGUAGCCGGCCUGAGAGGGCGACCGGCCACACUGGGACUGAGACACGGCCCAGACUCCUACGGGAGGCAGCAGGGGGGAAUAUUGCACAAUGGGCGGAAGCCUGAUGCAGCGACGCCGUGUGAGGGAUGAAGGCCUUCGGGUUGUAAACCUCUUUCAGCAGGGACGAAGCGUGAGUGACGGUACCUGCAGAAGAAGCGCCGGCCAACUACGUG
rnacentral:rRNA from 1 species